AUUGAACGCUGGCGGCAGGCCUAACACAUGCAAGUCGAACGAGUGGCGGACGGGUGAGUAAUGUCUGGGAAACUGCCCGAUGGAGGGGGAUAACUACUGGAAACGGUAGCUAAUACCGCAUACCAUCGGAUGUGCCCAGAUGGGAUUAGCUAGUAGGUGGGGUAACGGCUCACCUAGGCGACGAUCCCUAGCUGGUCUGAGAGGAUGACGGGCCACGGUGGACAUGAGACACGGGCCAGACUCCUGCGUGAGGCAGCAGUGGGGAAUAUGGAACAAGGGGCGCAAGGCGGAUGCAGCCGUGCCGCGUGUAUGAAGAGGGCCUUCGGGUUGUAAAGUACUUUCAGCGAGGAGGCGUUACUCGCAGAAGAAGCACCGUCUAACUCCGUGCCAGCCGCCGGUAAUUC
rnacentral:rRNA from 1 species